rnacentral:rRNA from 1 species
AGAGUUUGAUCCUGGCUCAGGAUGAACGCUAGCGGGAGGCCUAAUACAUGCAAGUCGAACGGUAACAUGGGUAGCAAUAUCUGAUGACGAGUGGCGCACGGGUGAGUAACGCGUACACAACCUGCCUUAUACUGGAGCAUAGCCUCGGGAAACUGAGAUUAAUUCUCCAUAAUAUUAUGAAGUGGCAUCACUUUGUAAUU